AGCCGUGUGGUCUAGUGGUCAGAACGUUAGCCGCGUAAGCUGAAGACGCCGGUUCGAUUCCGGCCUCGGCCA